AAAAGUCAAUACUGGCAAUUUAUUUCCUAACCGGCGGCCACAGGCUCCACCACCACAAUCGUCACACCCUACUCACUGUAGCCACCUCCUGCACACGGCGUUUCUCUAUGCAAGCCCUUUCUAUUCCAAGUUAAGGAAUCAUAAAUCAGCUUUUGAAGGCUAAAGGAAGCUCUUGUGACUAUUGGAGUUUGGAAUUAAAUGGCGAGUGAGAGCAAAGCUGUGGCUGAUACAUUGUUUCCCCUAAUUCCUGUAUCCCAGAAUGCCAGUGGCUUUCAUUUGAAGAUAUCUGAGAGCUACCCUCAGUGGAAAGAUCAGAUCACAUUUAGAGGAUUGAUUGUGAGUGCUCUACUGGGGACUGUGUUCUGCAUCUUGGUGCAUAGGCUCAGUCUAGCAACUGGGAUGGUUCCUGCUUUGAAUAUAGCUGCUGCAUUGCUUGGUUUUUCCAUUAUCAAGAUGUGGACUGUUUUUCUAACAAAGUUUGGUUUUUCUAGUGUCCCCUUCACUAGACAAGAGAAUACUGUUAUCCAAACUUGUAUUGUUGCUUGCUAUGGCCUUGCUACUAGUGGUGGAUUUGGCACAUAUUUGCUUGCCAUGGAUGAGAGAAUAUAUCAACUUAUAGGUGUUGAUUACUCUGGCAAUCAGCCAGAGGAUGUUAGGAAUCCAGGCCUGGGAUGGAUGAUCGGUUUCUUGUUUGUUGUAAGUUUUCUUGGGAUUUUUAGUCUUGUUGCGCUACGCAAGGUUAUGAUCAUAGAUUUUAAGCUUACUUAUCCCAGUGGAACUGCUACAGCAAUGUUGAUCAAUAGCUUUCACACAGAUGCAGGAUCAGAACUUGCAGAGAAACAAGUGAGUUUUCUGGGCAGAUAUUUGACUUUGAGUUUCAGUUGGAGCUGCUUCAAGUGGUUCUUCAGUGGUGUUGAGGAUUCAUGUGGAUUUAAUCAUUUUCCAAGCUUUGGCCUGACACUUUUUGAUCAUUCAUUCUAUUUUGACUUCAGCCCUAGUUUUGUUGGAUGUGGUCUUAUCUGUCCUCACAGAGUAAACUGCUCUAUUCUUCUAGGGGCAAUCAUAUUUCAGGGAUUUCUGCUACCAUGCAUUUCCAAAUAUUCUGGGGAUUGGUAUCCUGCUUACCUUCACAGUGGUGAUCUUAAAGGUCUUGGUGGAUAUAAGGUUCUCAUGUCAAUUUCACUUAUUCUUGGCGAUGGCCUUUACAAUUUGAUCAAG
rnacentral:misc_RNA from 1 species